GUGUGUGUGUGUGUGUGUGUGUGUGUGUGUGUGUGUGUGUGUAUGUGUGUGUGUGUGUGUGUGAUUCCCACUUUGAGGUACUUCAGAUGAGAGUACGGUUCUGUAAUAUAAGGGCAGGGAGAGAAUGGAGUCUUCCCUCCCUGCUGGGUCUGAACCAAAGUAAGGUAAAGAUGGAGUUCUUCUCUGGAUAUGGAUAGCACUCUUUCUCAUAAGUUCCUCUGGACUGCUACUAGUAGAAAAGUCUGUUACAUUUGAUUGUGCCACAAUGGUUCAGUUAAUGAAUAAUAAUUUGAAAGCAAGCAAUAAUAUCUGUUUCUGCUCACUAAAAUAGUUACCAAGGUAAGUUUUUCU
rnacentral:lncRNA from 1 species